UUACUUUGGUUGCAGAUAUUUACAGAUUUUUGAAUAUAAAGGCUUUUGGUUACACUAGCUUUCCUGACAUUUUUUGUUCUUCCCAGGCUAAAUGCCUGCUAAAUUAUUAUUGGAGACAUUUGAAAAUAGUACCUGGCAUCUCUGCUCUUGCAUUAACUGAUAUGAACUGUAUUUAUCCAAUAACGGUUUGUCCGGAAUUUCCUUUCAAAGAGAAUUUUGACAGUUGGAUUUUAAGCCGUAAUCAUAUCUUUGUCGAGAAAUGUACUCAAAAAAUAAAUCACGUUACUUCUAUGUGAAAACAUAUGUGAAUCUCAUCCACUGCACUUUUCAGUAUCUACGAAUAAAUUGACUGAUUUUUGCCGCGGUAGAAAUAUGACAAUGUUCUCAUCACAAACAUCACCGUCAAGCAGAUUUUUGUUGCGGAUACAAUGCAUUCCCAGCCAGCUACGUUGUAUUAUGGUGCUCGCCAGUUGCGGGUCGUCGAGGUGCCAGACAACUGGACGCAACGCUCCACUCGCCGGACCGACUUCGGCACCCUACCAGGAAGCCUUAGUAGGAUAGAUCCACUGGCGUGUACUAAAUC